AUUGAACGCUGGCGGCAGGCCUAACACAUGCAAGUCGAACGAGUGGCGGACGGGAGAGUAAUGUCUGGGAAACUGCCCGCUGGAGGGGGAUAACUACUGGAAACGGUCGCUAAUACAGCAUACCAUCGGAUGUGCCCAGAUGGGAUUAGCUAGUAGGUGGGGUAACGGCACACCUGGGCGAAGAUCCCUAGCUGGUCUUAGAGGAUGACCAGCCUCACUGGAAAUGAGACACGGUCCAUACUCCUACGUGAGGCAGCCGUGGGGAAUAUGGCUCAAUGGGCGCAAGCCUGAUGCAGCCAUGCCGCGUGUAUGAAGAAGGCCUUCGGGUUGUAAAGUACUUUCAGCGAGGAGGCGUUACUCGCAGAAGAAGCACCGGCUAAUUCCGUGCCAGCAGCCGCGGUAAUAC
rnacentral:rRNA from 1 species